AAGAGUUAGGUAAAUCCGGCUCUUUUUAAGGCUGAGACACGACGUCGAGCACCUACGGGUGUGAAGUCAUUGAUGCCAUGCUUCCAGGAAAAGCCUCUAAGCUUCAGAUUGUAAGGAAUCGUACCCCAAACCGACACAGGUGGUCGGGUAGAGAAUACCAAGGCGCUUGAGAGAACUCGGGUGAAGGAACUAGGCAAAAUGGUACCGUAACUUCGGGAGAAGGUACGCUCU
rnacentral:rRNA from 1 species